AUGGAAAUAUGGAAUGGACUGAGAAUUGGAGAAUGUAACACGACUGCCAUCUUUAGCACUUUGAAAUGCACGCAACACAGAACACAUAACAGGCAUGCAGUCACAAGCAGAACACGAGAGGGAUCGCGACCAGAAGCGCAUACGUACCAUGUCCAAGGAUUACCCGCGGCCAAGAAACCACCCGCCUCGCCCCCCGGCACAUACGCCCAAGCUUCAGAACGCGCCCCACGCUUCAGAACGCGCCUGCUCCACGAUUCCGUCCUGCUUCUCUUCGGCCACCCGCAGUCCAAGAACCGGCAUCCGGGUCGGCAUUUCGCCAAACGCCCUGAGCGCGCCGGCGCUCAGCACACGAAAGGCCGGCACAUUGCAUCGGAGGGGCGAGCAUGGGACGGGGCGAGCGUGCAAGAGGGGAUGCGGCGCGAGUGUGGCGGCAUGCGAGGAGGAGGCCGGAGGCACCUCCGGUGA
rnacentral:rRNA from 1 species